UGGGGAAUAUUGCACAAUGGGCGCAAGCCUGAUGCAGCGACGCCGCGUGGAGGAUGAAGGUUUUCGGAUUGUAAACUCCUGUUAAGUGGGAAAAAAUCCUGACGGAUAAUACCCGUUCGGGGAUGAUGGUACCACUAGAGAAAGUACCGGCAAACUUCGUGCCAGCAGCCGCGGUAAUACGAAGGGUACGAGCGUUAUUCGGAGUUACUGGGCGUAAAGAGCGUGUAGGCGGUUUGCUAAGUUGGUUGUUAAAUUUCCCGGCCUAACCGGGGACCCGCAACCGAAACUGGCGAACUAGAGUACAAGAGAGAGAAGUAGAAUUCCCGGAGUAGCGGUAAAAUGCGUAGAUCCCGGGAGGAAUACCGAUGGCGAAGGCAGCUUCUUGGCUUGUAACUGACGCUAAAGCGCGAAAGCGUGGGGAGCAAACAGG
rnacentral:rRNA from 1 species